GGAAAACCAUCUGACGGGCCCUGACCUCUAUUCUCAUAAAGUAAAGAAGGGGAAAGGCUGCGUCUACUGUUGGAGUCAGGAAUUCCCCCACAGGUUUGCGUACAGCUGUCAGGCUGUGACGCCACGAUGACGAAGUCCCUGUUGUGGUCCAGAGAACAACUGGAUGAUGACGUCAGCUGUGGAAAAGUUGAGUUACAUCUACGCAAAUCUUUGCUAUGGCACAACUCCAGCAGCAACAUUAUUGCUCAAUAGGAUAGCGACAAGGAAACAAGAAUUCAGAACCCCCCCAGUGACUAGAGUAAAUAUAAAACAGGAUUUGGAAAUGACCUGCCAGUGCCUUUUUAAACAGAAUCCACCCCCAAAAAAGUGUUUUAGGGUAAAAGGCUGUUUAGUCUUGUUUGGGUCACUUUUGUUUCCUCCUAUGACUGUGUUGUGUCAAACGGACACAACAGAUAAGCAGAUCAUGAAGUCAAAAAACAUUUCUGAAUGUCUAUCAACAAGACCAGUCUUGAUACAUAUUUCUAAACAAAAGGCCCCAACAGGUUACUUCACUGCAUUUCCUGGAUAUCUAUUUGCAUUUUCCAGGAUGUAGCCGGUAUCAGCAUGUGUCACAUCUUGUGGCUUUUAAACAAACCACACCCAAAUUUGGGAUUCAUUUAUUUUUUAAUUCGACUUUUUUUUUCCACAGAAGGAGCAGAUCACGAAAGGCAGAGAUCCUUUUCCAGAUUUACUCUUACAGGAGACCCCCCAGAGACCGACCACAGACCUACCGUGACGCCCAAAUCCUCUUUCAAGCAACAUCCUUGGGCAGCCGGAUAAGUUGCAAUUGACAUUUUGUUUUGGACUUCAGAAACAAGCCUGGCUUUCAUACUGCUGUUUGAACAUGGGGGAAAUCACUCACAAAGGUCACUGAGCCCAUUUCCUUUUCUUUGCUGCCAGCGCAUCUAAAUUGACCUGCAACUGCCCCCCUUUCAACUGCUCCUCACUUACUGGAACAUAUCUAUAUAGAGUAGGUACAGUUAAAAAAAAAACAGCAAUCAUGUCAGUCAUUUUUUUAUUAAACAUGGUUGUAUACACAGUAAGA